rnacentral:tRNA from 1 species
CCGGGUGUAGCGCAGUUGGUAGCGCGCUUGAAUGGGGUUCAAGAGGCCGCUGGUUCGACUCCAGUCACUCGGACCA